AGAAAUACUGUAAAAUACAAUCCAAACCCAUCUUGGGAAGAAAUUCCAUGCCUGGAAUCUUUUCUUUGGUUUGUUUUUGUUUUUGUUUUUUUCUUUCCCAGUGAGAAAUUCCAGUGCAAAAAUCCAACCUGGUUUUGGUGGCUGGGACGUGGAGAAGAUUGUGUGGCCACCAGCUCUUCACCUUCUCCACAGCAGCAGAAACAUCACCAGAGGAGCUUUUCUCUUCCUGAUCUUCCCAUCCCAAGACAAAUUCAGGAAAAAAAAACAUUUUUCCAGCUUCUUGGUGAGCUCCUCAACCCCCAGAUUCCUGUUCUUGGCCCCAGGGCUCUGCUGUGUGGAGGGGAGCACCACGGGGGACACUUUGCUCAUCCUCUCCUCCUCCUCUCCUGCAGGUUUCACUCCAGGAUCCUCUGGAAUUCCCUGUGGGAAACCACACCAGUGGCUGCCACCGGAUCCGGGUCACUCUGGUUCUCAGGGGCUUCUUCAAACAGCCCCUGGCUGGUGCUGCAGUUCCAGGAGAUGCUGGACCUUCAGGAGGAGAUGUUUGGAGCACUGCAGCCCUGCUCUGGAGGAAGAGGCCCAGCCCCUCGUGCUGCUCUGUGACUCGUGACUCCCUGGUUUUUGGAUUCCCUUGGCUUGCUUCAGCUGCACUCCAUCACCUUAAGAUUUUUCCCAUCCUGGGGCAUCGUGGCAGCAAAGUGAUUUUCUCCAGAGACACAAACCCGGUUCUUCCCACAGCCCUUGCCUGCUCCUACCUCGGCAGCAAACAAAACCCUCCCAAUUCCCGCUGGUACUAA
rnacentral:lncRNA from 1 species